GCCCGGCAGUGCGGGGGUCUGGGAGAGCCCGUGGGUGUGGGUGGAGGCAGCCACACUGUCUGAUGGGCCAGGCUGCCCAGGAGGGUGAGUGCUGGGCUGUACCAACCGCACCUGCCACUGGCUGACAAGGACCGCACCCCUCAUGCUGUGGGACCUCGAGUUCAGGGAAGUCAGGAGGCAGGGCAGACCACUGAAGCAUAUCCCCCCACCACUCCCCUGUUGGGUGCCCCAUCCACUUGGGGUGGGCCGAGCCGGCAAUACCGCCAUCCUCCCCAUCUGCUGAUAGGACAGGGAGGGUCAGCCACAGUCAGGGCCGCCGUGGAUGGCCCUAGAGGUUGUGUCCUAUGCAAGGGGACCAGAGAAGGCUGAAACGCAGGCCACUGGACUCUUGCUGGGCCCCAUUUUUCUCAUUAGAGCACAUUUUUCUAAUUUACGCCAAGGCACCAGCAGCCACCCGACUGGAGUCAGCAGGUGGUGGAGACUGGACCCAAGGCCAGUUCAUGGGCAUCUCUGCCAGCCUCCCUUGGCAUUCAGGCCCUACUUCUCAGGGGCUUCCCCAGCAGAGGAACCAUCCACAAACCCUCUUGUCAGCCUCCUGCCUCAGCUUCCCGUGGGUACCACUCAGUACCACCCCCAGACCCAGGCAAGCGGGGCCUUUGCCUGGGCCCCACUCCGCCCUCCUUCCUCCACACCUCUCCCCAUGGAGUGGAAAGUCUGUGGGGAUGAGAGAAUGUCCCUUUGUGGAACCUGGUCCCUCCCCCCACUUCCAGACCUCCUCCCAGGAACCCAGGAGCUUGGAAUCCUCUGUGCAUUCAGCCCAUGCAUGCAACGUCUGCACAGGUGGCCUGGAGCUGACGGGACCCCUGGGACGUGCCCCUCUCUCCUGUACCCACACCGCACCACACCCAGCCCUCUCCACAGGCUCGGCCAAGGGGCGUCUCACCCUGGGGGAGGGCGGACAGGAGGCCUUUCCUGGUGCAGCAUAGAGCCUGGGGUAGAAAAGGAGUGAGGCAGGGACCUGCUUCGUAGGCUUUGCCUCGGUCCUCAAGUGAUGGGAGCAGGCCUGACACCGUUAUUCUGAGACAGGGAACUAUCCCCAUUGUUGGCCAGCUCCAACGCUGGGAGACAACCAAUACGGGGCAGUAAGCUUGUGGGAGGGAGGCGAGUAACUCGCUUCAUUUGAAAGGUAGCCUUGUUCUUGGGCCGAGCCUCUUUCCCUGUAUGAAGAAAUGUACCUUCUCCUUGUGUUCCUUAAGCCCUGCUCACACCAGGCUCCUUGCCGAAUAGUGCAGGAGGUAAUUGGAUAAGACCCAUGGGCCCCUGCACUGGCCUUGCCUCUGAAACUGGCAACAGCCCCAGUCCCUCCUAAGGAGCCCCCCACCCCCAGCUGUCUCCCUCCAGCCCACGCUCCUUUCCCUGCUGGGUGAGCCCUAGAGCCUCAGGUGUCACCCAUAGCCUGGGCCUUCCCUAGAACCCAGACAUCCCAGUGACCAUGGGCAGCUGCUCUGCUGUGGCCAGAGGGGUGGGCAGUGCCUGGGGGCAGCUAGGGGAGAGGUGCUCAUGAGUGGGGCUGAACUUCCCCAGGGCAAGGCCAGUUUCCAUCAACAGUCCUCCCCCGUCUUCUCUCCUCCCUUCUCUUCCCUUGUUCCUGCCCAGUGCUCCUUGGCUGCCUGUACUUAUCUGGCUUCAUCCCCCUCUCCCUGCCCCCUCCAGCCCAAGUGGGCUUGACGUGCAUUUCAGACCUGUUGGCUGCGGCGAGAACACACCGGGGUCAGGGCGGAGCAGGAGCCUCCCUGACAGUGGAAAGCCAGGUGGGAGUGAGGAGGGUCACACCUUCCCCGCGUGUGUGCACGGCCAGGAAGCCAGGCAGUGGCUGCAGCAGGGCUGUAAGGCAAGAAGGACAACCCCAAGCCGGGAGGCGGCCAGGCAGCUUUGAGGGGAACUGAGAACCCCUGCGGGGCCAUGCAGGACAGGGAAUGGGCAUCGGGGCGAGAAGAGGACACACGAGUCAUCUUUCUGAUCUCUGCCUUUGCUUUUUCCUGAGCCUUGGCUGCUGCUGCCCAGCCUGGCCCCUAUGCUCCAGCCAUGUGGGUGCACUCUGCUCCCUGAACACAAGUGCCCCACGCUUUCCUCAGCCUCCAGGCUUUGUACGUGCUCUCCCCUCUGCCUGGAAUGCACUUCCCUCCUUCUUCAUUUGGCAAAUGUCUGCUCGUCCUUAGAGAUGCCCCUCAGGUGUCACUGCCUCCAGGAAGCCUUCUCUGACUGCCCUCCCCACCAGGAGCCUCCCAUCAUUUCUAGGGCUUAACCCAUAGUUACACUGAUAGCAAUUACAUUGAUUGUAAUCACUCGCCUAUCCCCCCAACCAUUAAUAACUUUGAGGACCACAGUUGUCUUACGCUGCUUGGCACCUGGCAUACAGCAGGUAUUUAUACAUAUUGGAUGGGUGGGUGGAUUACUGAAUUGCUGCCAGUCCAAUGAGGAAAGGGAUGAGUGGGAAACUCGCUGCCAGCAGCCGGCAAGGCUGGGACGUCCAGAGCUGCUGGCGAGAGAAGGAAGAUGGCACAGGUGACGGGGGUCCCAAGGAGCUAUCUCUACCACCCCCCCACGUUGGGCAAACAUCGGCCAUAGGCGUGUCCUGAUCCUUGGUGGCGACCCUCUUCUCUCCUUGCUCCUAGAAAUUUCUGCCUGUCUCUUAUCACCUGGCUGAGCUCGUGGCAGGAGUCCUGGCCCAUGUGUUUACCAGAGGCUGAGUGGACGCUUCCUCCUCCUCCAUUGUCUGUCCGUGCCCCGAUGAAGCAAUGCAGGGGGAGAAGGGGGAUGCAUUGUGAUGAGGGAAACUGAGGCAGGCACAGGGGUGGUCCCAUUUUCCACCCUGGCAAUCCUCCACACAUCUGGAUCCCAGCUGCUGGCCCCGGCUCCAGCAAUUCCCUGAUUCCACUGAUGCUGAUGGCUUCCGCAUGGGAGGUGGAGGGGGGGUCUCCCGGGGGGAUAGGUCAUCCCUCUCCCCUCUCAAGGAUGGUCUAGAGGAUGAAUCCAUCUGCCAGAGGCGUCCAAGAAGAAAGGCCUGGGCCAGGAUCACAUGGAAGACUCUGAAGACAGGAUCAGAUCUUGCCUGCCUGGAUUGAACAGGGACGUAGUAACCAGUCCCAUCCGCGCCCACCUUGCUGCCCUCUGAAUCGAGAGUUUGAGGCCAUGACCAGGGUAACGUUCAGCUGGUAGAGACAGCGCCACCCUGCUGGCUGUUUAAGCCGUGCUGGAAUGGUGCUCACAGGGUAACAAUUGUAAGUACUUUGAAUAUCACCUCUUAAUCAAAAUUAAGAUCAACGGACAUUUCGAAGUUUCUGGGGUCUAGCCUCACCUCCGCCUCCCGCCAGCUUUUGGCUGCCACCCUUUACCUGAGCCUCCCAGCCUCCCUCAGUUCUGCCCAUCGCACCUGCGCCCUGUGUCAAGGCCCCGCUUCUGUAACCUCCUCUUUAUGGGCAUCUUCCGCCGUUUCCCACUGAUACUCAUUGCACCAUCCACAGGCCACAGUGCUGUAGAGUCAGCUGGGGAGGCCUGGGAGCAGGCCUGGGUGGCGGGUAAGGGGGGGGUGGUCCUGCUGAUGCCAUCUUAUCACUCCUCAGUGAGUGACAAACAGAAGCAGCACUUGAGCCAGACUCUGACCGAGAACUACGGGCAGCUGGAGCCACGCAGACCCCACCUCAGCAGACCGGCUGCAACAGGAGGUACACCACGCCCUAUGGCCUUGAAGGCCAAGCAGACACAGGUUCAAAUCCUGACUCUCUUCUUUCCUGUCUGUGUGGCCCUGGGCAAGUUACUUACCCUCUCUGAGCCUCGGUUGCCACAUCCCUAAAAUGAAGCCUCUUUAGGGUAUGUGAGCAUUAAAUUCGGCCACAUCUGUAAAGUCCUUACCACCGUGAGAAGUGCCUGCUGAAGCCUGUUUCCUCUCCCUCCCUCUCCUCGACUCCCUCCUCCAAACCCACCCCUGCUGUCUUCCCGCUCUGGGUCCUGGUGGGCAGGAAGCUGGCAGUACCAGGAGAACUCCAUCGCCUGCCAGGAUCUGGGCCAGGAAGCCUCUCUCCGGGUUUCUUCUAUCUGUGGGGCUGCCUUCCUUCUUCCCUGGGGAGCGGGGAGCUGAAGCCCCAUAAGAGGGAGUGCUACCCAGCAGGGGUAUUUCAGCUGAGCCACCAACAGAACUCCCCAGUUGUGAGCCAGCAGGCAGAAAGCUGAGGCACAGAAAGGUGGUCUCCUUUCCAAGAAGAGACGCGGCAGAUCCCUCCAGCAAGGCCCACCAUCCUGCCAGACGUAGGGGGCGGACAGUGGACCUCAGAGCUGUGCUGUCCAAUGCGGCAGCCGCCACCCACAUGUGGCUAUUUACAGUUAAAUUAAACAAAAUCCAGUUCCUUGCUCUCACCAACCACAUUUCAGGCGCUCAGGAGCCCCAGAUGGUGACUGAACGCCGAGCUGGGCAGCACAGAUGCAGGACGCUGCCUCCGUCGCGGAAAGCUCUCCUGGACGGCACUGUUCCAGAUCCUGAUGGGUUCGUGUCAGAAAAUCCAAGGCUGCUCUCCCCACAUGCUCUGGUCCGCCUCUCUCUGCCACCCCACUCCCCACCCUCAUCCCCUGGGCCUGGGGCCUUGGUCUUGGCCCGGGGAAUGUCAGGCAAGUAGAGGACAUAGACGUCAUGAGCUCUAAGAUCCAGGGCAUCAUGGUUCAGUAGGGAAGCCCUCACCCCAUCUCCCCGAGAUGCAAGCUCAGCUCCCCGUUGGUGGAGGGGUCUCUUUUCUGAAAUCGUGGCCUAGGGCACGCGUGUACACACAGGUGCACACCCACAGGCACACGCGUACCCCACAGACUUAGCCCAGGACUGGGAUGGAGCAGCACACACUGCUGGUCAGCCCUGUGCAAGACUAAGUGUGCUCUCCCUGGGCUGUGCCUGUGAGGACCUGUGCCAGACAAGAAUAGGACAGAAUCCCCGCCCUCGGGCUCACUCAGAAAGCCAGACACACAGCAGGCAACGUGCAGGCAGUGCAGGGCUGGGGCACCCCCGAAACAGAGAGCAGGGGAGGUGGGGAGGACUCCGUGGGGCAGGGGCAGGGUUUGCUUAGGUGGAGAGGGUGGGAGUGGCAUGAGGAAAGGUGCGGCUAAGAGCAAAGGCCGUGUCACCCGCCAAGACCUGCAGGGCACCGGUGCACGCAGAUGCAGGCCCUCACACAGGCCGGGAACAGUUAGAACCCCAACCUGCAUCUCAGGCGGGAGACUGAGCCCCAGGAAAGCAGUGGCUGCAGAGCCAGGGCCAGCAUCGGGCCCUCCAGCAGCACCCCAUGCAUGUAAAUGACACAGCCACAUGCACCUGUAUUCACGAAAGUGUCUCUCAUUCACCGUGGACGCUGCGCCAGGCUCUCUUCUAAUUGCGUUCCAUGAAUCUCCUCUUUCAGUCCCCACAACGGUGCAGGGUGCAGGUCUUUCACUGGCCCAAUUCGACAUGUAAGUGGCCCAGCAGUCGUGCGGCACCAGCACACCCAGACAGAGACACGGGGAUGUGCGAGGCUGCGUGACUCCCUGCCCUCGCUGUGCCAGUCCCUGCCCUAUCUGCCGCCGUUAUGUUCAGCCAGGACGCCCGGUACCCCCGUCCACCCCCGUCCAUUCCUAGCCCUGGAUGGAGGAUUAACCCCUUCCUUCUCUGGGGUUCACACACAAACUUCCAUUGUCUUCUACUAAACUACAGUAAAUGCUACACUACUUCAGGGCAGGACUGGUGCCUAACUCGUGUUUGUUCACUCCAGGCACAUGGCAAACCUAGCAAAGCCCUGUUCGCUGAACUAAUGAACUCAUACCCCUCCGCCCGCCCAGCCCCGAACCCACACCAGAUACGGCCUCCCAGCUGCUGUGUUCUGUGGCCUGUGUAGGGACUUGGAAUCUCAGUGCCCCGACUCAGAAGGGCAGGAAGUGGCCCCAGUCCGCUGUCUUUGAAUUGCUUUCUACCCUGGCUGGCACUUCCCUGCCCUGGAGUGGUGCCGACGACCCCGGGCCUCACUCAGUACUCACACCGGCCCCUCUGGCCAACACUGACCUGCCUGUGCCAUGGACUCUGGGACACCCUUUGUGCCCCUGCAUGUCUGGGGCUCUGAGGUUUCACCUGGGAACCUCUGGCAAGGCUGGUCCCUGUCCCUGUGUCCUGCCUCCUGGAUGACCAGGGCCUCCUUGCCUCUUGUGGCUUGUCACCACCCUGUGUUCUGCCAGGCAGCGGUACACAGCCCCACUCUCUGGGGACCCCGCCCUCAUCCAUCUUGCCCACCUCACAGACCUACCCUGCCCUCAGGACACCCAGCAUAAUCUCCUUAAAGGACCUGGGUGGCUGCAGGUCCUGGGUGGCUGCAGGUAGCAGAUAGGAGUCCUGCGGGCAGUGCUGGCCCCCAGGGACAGCUCUCUGCUCAAACAGGGAAGGGAGAAAUCGCAGGGAGAGCAAAGAGGGUUUGGGUGAGUGUUUGAAUCCUGUGUCCUCGGCCCUGGAACCCCACGCAGCCUUCUCACCUCCAGCCUCUGCCUCCCCCUGCAGUUCAAGUGCUGCACAGCACGUACCUGCUGUCGUGGGAGGUGAGAGCCGCCAGUGCCCGCCAGCUGCUGCAAGGCGGUGGUGGCACUCUGCAGCCAGCCGGCCCACCCCUCCAACGUCUGCAAGGGAGAGGUGAGCGCCCCAGCCUGGCCUCCAGGCGCCCCCAAAGGGCUGGGGUCAGGCAGAUGGGCGUGGGAAAAGCAAAGCACACAUGAUCCUUGACCACAAGCUCACAGCGCCAGGCCCUUCAGAGGCUCUACAAAGCCCUGGGAAAAGCAGCUCCUCCUGGGAGUCCAGGGCACCAUGGCAUGCCCCCGGGGCUGCCCACAAAACCUGUAAGCCACUUAAGGCCAGGUCCAGCCCAUGAGUCCUCUGGUCCACCCUCUGCCUCUGCCAUAUGCACCGGGACGGCCAGCCCUUCCUCCCAACCUGUGCCUGCUUCUGGGCCAAAGCCCUGACACCUGCCCUUCCCCUCCAGGGAGGCUGCCUCACCAAGCUACCUGCUACUCACGAGGGCGGUGGGCAUCGGGGUGGCCUGCCUGCAGGUGAGGUGCAGUUGAGAGAUUAGGAGGAAGGUGUGUGGAAGGGCUCUGAACCUGUCUCCAGUGGUAGCGAUCUCCAGUAACUGGGCUGGCAUAUCCAUGCCCUGCCCUGCUCUCUUCUCUCCCCCUCCCUUUGCAACCAAGGCUGAAUCCCACAGUCAGUCUGUCCCCCAGAGAACAUGAAGGAAGAUGCCUGAGGGACAACAUGAACUUGUCAGAAACGGGCCUGGGAGGAGUGUGGAUGUGGGCUCAGGCCAUACGAAGCGCCUGCUGCUGCCAGGGCUCUGGAGCGGACACUACUUUCUGUUUUGGGAAGUUCACCUUGUGCACAGCCAAAGGCCCUGAGAGCCGGAAGGGCCCAGUGUGGCCCUGAGGGGAGGGGGGCCAUGGUAUGUCAGUAUGAUGUUGCCCGGGACCCUCCAGCCCUGCAGCCAGCUUUGGUCUCAGAGUCUGCCACUCUGGGCCCCUCUUCAAGGUUUUCAGACAGGGGCAGUGAGGUGGAACAGUUACCGUCACCACCGCCCACCCUAGGACCUGCUUUGAAAACAUUCUCCAUGUACUGGCCACCCCGGGCCUGAGGAAGGAAAGGGGGUUUGACUGGCCGUGGAGAAAACCAGUCUUUGGUACCACUGCUGGGUGGUGCUUACGUCUGCUGAGAAUGUGAUCAAGCAUCUAAACCAGGAGUGAUCAAACUCGAGUGGGCGUCAGCAUCACCUGGGGUUGGGAGGAUGUUUUCCAAACAGAUUGCUGCCCCCGCCACCGGAGUUUCUAAUCAGGAGAAGCAGAGCAAACAACUUGCAUUUCUAACAAGUCCCCAGGGGCUGCUGCUGGUCCUGGAACCACACUUUAAGAACCACUGCUUUAGACCAUGUCCCAGGGACACUGCCACGACCCUCAGGGUUCAAAAGUCCCUCGGGCUGCCUAGAUGCCACUGUCCUCCUGCCUCCAUCGUGGGUCGGGGGUGAAGCGUGCUGCUAUGGUCGCUCACAGCCGAACAGGAAAGCCUUUGCACUGUGCAUCUGUGCAGCACCCGCCCUGCCCUGGAGGGCUCUUGGAUGGUCUGUGGCCUUGGCCAGGAGACCCGGUGGCUGGGUCCUUUCCUGGAAGGAGACAGGUUACACUCCCCAGCCUGCUGUCCCACCACCUCCUGUGUGCCCUAGGAGAGGCACAACAACAUCCUUAUUGCUCCCUUUUCCUAUUUUUUUAAAGUUUUUUUUGUAGAAAUGGGGUCUCCCUAUGUUGCCCAGCCUGAUCUCCAAUUCCUGAGCUCAAGUGAUCCUCCUGCCUCAGCCUCCCAAAGUGCUGGGGUUACAGGCAUGAGCCGCUGUGCCCUGCCUCCCUUUUCCUGUUGCAGUGCACAGCCCAGCCCAUGCUUCCCGCCUCCUGUGGGCCUUGCCUCCUCCUGCUUAUAAACCUGGGAUUCCCCUUCCCCAGCCCGCCCUGUGCAAGUGUGGCUAAUCCUUCAGGCAGCCCAGUGUCAGCAAGGCCAGAUGGGCUCCUGGAACCAGCUGGCCCAUGGGUGUGGGUCAUCGCAGUAUUCUAGACACAGAGACAAUGCCUUAACCUACUGCGUAUAGAGAAACUGCUCUCAUUGGAAACACAUCCCACUCCAUAGCUGAUCUCAGGGUAAGCCCAGCUUCAUGUGCUAGGGGCAUGAUAAUGAAAAUAAAAGAAUUAUAUCUAGACUA